CUGCAGUCGAGGGGCAGCAGGGGUAGCAAUACCCGCUGGCGACCGGCAAACGGGUGCGGAACACGUACGCGACCUUCCUUCAAGCGGGAGAUAGCCCGGAGAAAUCCGGAUUAAUAUCCCAUAGGAUUGUGGAUCGGCAUCGAUCAGCAAUUAAAGAUUUAUCACUUGAAGAUGGGCGUGCGUCUGAUUAGGUAGUUGGUGAGGUAACGGCUCACCAAGCCGACGAUCAGUAACUGGCGUGAGAGCGCGACCAGUCACACGGGCACUGAGACACGGGCCCGACUCCUACGGGAGGCAGCAGUAAGGAAUAUUGGUCAAUGGACGCAAGUCUGAACCAGCCAUGCCGCGUGGAGGAUGAAGGUCCUCUGGAUUGUAAACUUCUUUUAUCUGGGAAGAAAUGGUUGCUUUCUAGCGAUCUUGACGGUACCAGAUGAAUAAGCACCGGCUAACUCCGUGCCAGCAGCCGCGGUAAUACGGAGGGUGCAAGCGUUAUCCGGAUUCACUGGGUUUAAAGGGUGCGUAGGCGGAACAGAAAGUCCGUUGUGAAAUCUCCGAGCUUAACUCGGAAAUUGCGGUGGAUACUAUUGUUCUUGAAUAUUGUUGAGGUUAGCGGAAUAUGUCAUGUAGCGGUGAAAUGCAUAGAUAUGACAUAGAACACCAAUUGCGAAGGCAGCUGGCUAAACAAAUAUUGACGCUGAGGCACGAAAGCGUGGGGAUCAAACAGGAUUAGAUACCCUGGUAGUCCACGCCCUAAACGAUGAUUACUCGACAUUUGCGAUACACAGCAAGUGUCUGAGCGAAAGCAUUAAGUAAUCCACCUGGGAAGUACGACCGCAAGGUUGAAACUCAAA
rnacentral:rRNA from 1 species